rnacentral:snRNA from 1 species
AUCGCUUCUCGGCCUUUUGGCUAAGAUCAAGUGUAGAAUAUAACCCCCAUCAUAAGUUGAAUAACAUAUACUUAUAUUUCCUGGUCAUUAUUAAAGAUACUUAUCUAUU